rnacentral:rRNA from 1 species
AAAUUGAAGAGUUUGAUCAUGGCUCAGAUUGAACGCUGGCGGCAGGCCUAACACAUGCAAGUCGAACGGUAACAGGAAGCAGCUUGCUGCUUUGCUGACGAGUGGCGGACGGGUGAGUAAUGUCUGGGAAACUGCCUGAUGGAGGGGGAUAACUACUGGAAACGGUGGCUAAUACCGCAUAAUGUCGCAAGACCAAAGAGGGGGACCUUCGGGCCUCUUGCCAUCAGAUGUGCCCAGAUGGGAUUAGCUUGUUGGUGAGGUAACGGCUCACCAAGGCGACGAUCCCUAGCUGGUCUGAGAGGAUGACCAGCCACACUGGAACUGAGACACGGUCCAGACUCCUAC